rnacentral:rRNA from 1 species
CACUCCUACGGGAGGCAGCAGUGAGGAAAAUUGGACAAUGGGUGGAAGCCUGAUCCAGCCAUCCCGCGUGCAGGAAGACGGCCCUAUGGGUUGUAAACUGCUUUUAUCUGGGGAUAAACCUACUUACGUGUAAGUAGCUGAAGGUACCAGAAGAAUAAGCACCGGCUAACUCCGUGCCAGCAGCCGCGGUAAUACGGAGGGUGCAAGCGUUAUCCGGAUUUAUUGGGUUUAAAGGGUCCGUAGGCGGACUGAUAAGUCAGUGGUGAAAUCCGACAGCUUAACUGUCGAACUGCCAUUGAUACUGUUAGUCUUGAGUAAGGUUGAAGUGGCUGGAAUAAGUAGUGUAGCGGUGAAAUGCAUAGAUAUUACUUAGAACACCAAUUGCGAAGGCAGGUCACUAAGUCUUAACUGACGCUGAUGGACGAAAGCGUGGGGAGCGAACAGGAUUAGAAACCCCUGUAGUCCCAUGA